rnacentral:misc_RNA from 1 species
UGAAAGGUUUUGUAGUGAUAAUGCUUGAGAAGAACUAAAUUUUAUUAUUUGCUGAAUGUAGCUUGAUGAAAACUUUGUGGGAACAUUGAAUGGCUCAAAAAUAGAAACUUCUUAAGAGAUGAUGAUGUCGAGAAUGACGUUUCCCAGGACCAUCCUUAUGGCAAAGGGAGAAGGGUGUGGUUGAAUUACGCAAGAAAGGCAGGAGAAGGCAAGAGUGUUUUAGACUUUUCAAUUGUCACUAACGGCUAAUUGUGAGAAAAAUGGAUGUAGUUUAGGGACAUUUUAAUCUAUUUUUUAAAAUAAAAAUAAUAGUGUUAAUAAUGGUAAAAUGACGAAAUAAUAAUUUAUCCUCCUCUUAAUCUGCUCUAUUAAUUCAGGUAUUGCUGUUAAUUGACAACUUUAGAGUCCUAGCUGAACAAGAAAAUCAGUCCUUAUAACCAUUUUAUGUUUGGAGAACCAUCGGACUGAAGCUAAUGAC